rnacentral:rRNA from 1 species
UACUGCCUGUUGGCGUCGCCGAGGCUGAGGUUACCGCUGCUCCCACUGUAGCUACAACAGCGGAAGGCGUUACGAAACGCGGUGAGGACAGAUCUAGUCCGUCGUCGUCGCCUCCGUCGAGGGCAUCGCUGCGCAGCAGGGGAAGCGGGCGGCGGUGUGACACCCGCUGCAACAGCCCGGCAGGGUAAGCGGCCACCCUCGCGGUUGGCAAGGUGGGGUGAGGUUCAUACGGCGAGGCGGCGGUUGGGCAGGUAAGAUGGAGGCCUCUCGCAGGUGCCCGUGGCAAACCACGAAGACGGGAGCGGUCGUGGUCCGGCCAACUCCUGCGGGCUCCGCGCCGGGCGUGCUGCGCUCCCGUUGCGCUGCCUCUACCUACGCAACGCCGACGCCGCCUUCUUGCGGUUUCGCGAGGCUGAGCGAUAGCUCAGCAGCCGCUUCCUCUUCCGCUUCUCCGUGCAGCUCCUCGUCCUUGCGAACGAGGUUUCCGAACGGCCCCCAGUGUACCUCGAUAACCCACUGAGGCUGCUGCCUAGUUCGAGACUGCUAUUGCUGCUGCUACUGGGAGGCCGCCGGCUGCGGGUGUGGCUUCCGGUUUCGUCGUAGCGGUUGGCGUUCCCUUCCUGGUUGAGUGAUUACGGGGGUAGGGAGGAGGAGGGGUAGGUUAGGGGGCCUGCUAGACGGAGGGGACAGCGGAUGGGGCGACGACGCAGCUGGGAUCGGCGCUGCGGGCUGAAAAGGUGGCUGCCACUCCGGAAGGAGUUAGGGAGGUUCGAGACACAGGAGGCGUAACACGACGGUGUGGGGGUGAGAGCAGCGAACGCCAGUGGCCUCGGUACAGCCCUCUCAAAUGCCGUUAGGAAGGUUCGUAAUUAAUAAGGCUACUAUCAUCCCCCGGAGGUACGUGUCAGAAAGAAGUAACCAUGUAGCCGCAACAAAAGAACACCUACACGACCUAGCGGUAAGGAGUUACACAUGGACCUAAGAGAAACACGUGGAUUAAAAUCCGUCUAAUUCGUUAAGAGAUGUAAGUUCCCACGGCAAUUAAUACUACGACCGCGGUCGCAGGAACUCCUCCCUUUCUCCCCGCGACCACCGUCUCCGGUACGUGUUCAUGCGCUGUGGGACGAGCAGCACUAUCAAGACCAAAAGGAACGGCGAGGGUUUACGAGUUCACCUUGCCGUUCAUCCUUCGCGUGGAGACCCUGUUGUGUUUCGGUCCAACUCUCCGGGUUCGUGUUACCGUUUGUUCGUAGAGAUGAAGAUUACCUCGUCAACCAUCAGAGGCGGCCAGUUAAAAGCAGGGUAGUUUCUGCCAAUUAAAAGCAGGAGGUAGGGUGGAGGGCGAUGGGUCGCUAGGGGGGAAGGAAGGAGCUCUGGCUGGUUUUUUUUUCCGUCCGAUGGUGCUCCGGGCAACGGGAGCACGGAGCGUAGGGGAGCGUGUGUGCUUUUUUUUGUCGCUUUUAUUAGGGGCUCUCUUUCAGGUUAGCGCAGGGCGUUUGGGAUCGGCGGCGGCCGGAGGGGAUGGGCACGGCGUCUGCGUGUGGUAGGAGAAGAGGAGGGAGGGCAGUCGCUGGACGGAGGUGAGGCGCUCCGUCUAGCUAGCUCUGGGUACCGGCCCCAGCGGUGGCACGGAGCGGCGCGUCGCGUAGCCAGCCUCGUCUCUCAGCCCCGCAUCCUCUACUCCUCUUGCCGCAUCCGAAGUACUACCUUCCUCUAUGCCGCCGCCUGUUCCUCCUCCAGCCCCCAAUGUGUCUCCAUGUCCACCUACAGUCGUUGGACGGGGGAUGCUGCAGCUACCACUCGUGGGUUAUACAACAUUAGAUAGAUAAACUAGAUAAAUCACUAUAAAGUGUAGCUGACUAACAUCGUACGGAUGUGGCUACCCGUAAACCUCCUCGGCCGUUGCCACCGUCACGAAGUAAAAGGACGGCUGUUACCUUCAUACCUGGUCGUUCUUUAUAGCUCAACUAACCGUAUGAACGACUCUUCCAAUGUUGACAUCCAUUCCGUAGUUUGAUAUACAGAGUUUAAUUCCAUUUACGAAGAAGCACAUGGUAUAUACCGUCAAACCACUAGUUGGAAGCUAGUCAAUCCGGUGACCUAUCUCGACGCUAUUUUCGUAUACAAUGCUUUUAUUUAUCCAACCACUAAGAACUUCUUCCGAGGGGGGUUGUAGCACAACCACGACUCUAUACCAAAAGAGAGAGAGAGAGAGAGGUGUGUGUAGUACAGUCAUGAAAAAUAAAAGAACGAGCUCGGUGUCUAAGAUGAAGACGUAUAACAAAUGAAAUAGGAGCGACGUAGCCGGAACGUAUACCGGUAACCCAUGACUAGCGGAGGUACAGAAACCACUCGGGGGUAUCGAGAUCCAUGUAAGACUUCCUCUUCUAACGACCAGCUCUUCCGGUAAAUAGACUAUAAUCAAAUAACCUCUUUAACGGGUACUACAUAAAAGUCAUGUAAUCCUAAAAAACAUCAGCGUACCAAGACUAUCCUUCUAUGGCAACGAUGGUCAUU